rnacentral:rRNA from 1 species
CAGCCGCGGUAAUACGGAGGGUGCAAGCGUUGUUCGGAUUUACUGGGCGUAAAGCGCGCGUAGGCGGACAGGUAAGUCGGUUGUGAAAUCCCUGGGCUCAACCUAGGAACUGCAUCCGAAACUGCUUGUCUUGAGUGACGGAGAGGAUAGUGGAAUUCCCGGUGUAGAGGUGAAAUUCGUAGAUAUCGGGAGGAACACCAGUGGCGAAGGCGGCUAUCUGGACGUCCACUGACGCUGAGGCGCGAAAGCGUGGGGAGCAAAC